rnacentral:sRNA from 2 species
UGCUGCUGGCGAGAGUUCAUUUUCUCGUCGUCCUAGUGGAUCGUAGGUUCCUUGGGACCUUCUAGUUGUCGGCAGCGAGCCCGGUCCGUAUAACCGUGGAGGCAACGGCACGGGUCCGGAUUCUUGUAGAAUAGCCCCGAAUGUCGAUUUGCGAGUGAACGGUUGGUGGAGUGGAUGCUGGGGGUCCAUUGUUGGGAUUUCAUCCAUAUUCUUCUACCUUUAGGCAAUCCUGUUGUUGAAAAGCGAGGGCUCUAGGGUUGAAGGGGGAUAGAACAGGAACAUCAAAAAUUCUGACGACCAAAUGAUUUGCUUGUGGUAUAGUAUUGUUGAAAGAAAGAAAUGGCAAAAAAGGGAGGGAAGCGUGUGGCUGACAGAGAGCUUUGUUGGCUGAGUACGGUGUGAAACAGCGAACGGUGGUAGGAGAGUUUCAUGGAAGGCGAUGAGGGAAGAAAGGAAGUGAAAAACGAAAAAGAAACUAUGAUGAUGAGG